rnacentral:rRNA from 1 species
UACGGGGGGAGCCAGCUUUGUUCGGAUUUACUGGGCGUAAAGGGCGCGUAGGCGGCCACGACAAGUCAGUUGUGAAAUCUCUGGGCUUAACUCAGAGCGGUCAACUGAUACUGUCGGGCUAGAGUGCAGAAGGGGCAACUGGAAUUCUCGGUGUAGCGGUGAAAUGCGUAGAUAUCGAGAGGAACACCUGCGGCGAAGGCGGGUUGCUGGGCUGACACUGACGCUGAGGCGCGAAAGCUAGGGGAGCGAACGGG